CCGACGAUGGCCAGUAAAUCGGCGUGGGUAACCGAUCCGG
rnacentral:antisense_RNA from 1 species